UACCCGGGCCGGGUAUUACCCGGCCCGCAACACCCGGGUACGGUCCUGUUGGUCUAAAAUUCUUAUGAACUGUUGAUGGUGACGUGGCAGCAUAUUAGUGGACUAAAACUUACGCGUACGGUACAUGCAUUACACAGGAUUAUUUUCAACCAAACCGCGUUACUGUUCAAAGCCGGGUCAAACCGCGUUACUGUUCAAAGCCAGGUCAAACCGUGUUACUGUUCACCCUCAUGGUCAAACCGCGUACUGUUGACUGAUGACGUGGCGCAAUCCUGAGCGUUCAAACUGUUUUUAAUCUGAUGGCCAUGAUUUACUCCAUGUAUCUAUAAAAAGGGGGCCUCUCCCCCCUAAUUUGAUAUCUCUGAAUUUAUUUUUGGACUCCAUGUUCUGUAAUUCCUUCUCUAUCUUGUAUUUUCUAUGUAUUUUAAUAAAUUCUCAUUUUGCCCUUAGUUCAAUUAUGAGUAGCUAAUUUUCUUUCAAGUUUGGGUUGAAGGUGAAGUCUCAACAUGUGUUAUGGGAUUUAUGUGGUAAAUUUAUUUUCUCUUCCCCUCCAAUUUUUGUGGAUGUUUUGACUUCUCGUCCACAAAUAAUACUAAUUUUGUCUAGUACCGCCUUGGUUUCACCGGCCCCCUAGUACAAGGUUAUUAUUAUUUGGCACGAUAAGCCCUUAGCACUAUAUUGAUUAGAGCGUGGUUCAUGAGGUGUGGAUUCCCCCCUCAUGAUUUAAUUGGCAUUAAUAAGGAUUAUUUAGCCCAUGAUGCAUGUUGAUACGGAUCCAGGUACGACAUUUCAAUAGAAUUCUCUUCAAUUUAUUCUCGACAUUUCAAUUCCAAUUUUAGAAUUUAUUAUCGCCAUUUUAAUUUAAGUUUUAGCAUAUUCCAAAUUAUUUCUACCACAAAUCCAAUCACCCAUUUACAAAAUUAAUUCUACACACAAUUAAAAUCCACCUCCUCGUGGGAUCGACACUCGUCUCCAUUAAUCUAUUCUACAAUAGAUUCGUGUGCUUGCGAGUACAUUAAAAUUUGCACAACAAGUUUUUGGUGCCGUUGCCGGGGAAGGUAAGUAAUUUUAAUUCAUAGAAUUAAUUUUUGUGAAUAAUUUCUU
rnacentral:lncRNA from 1 species